UACGGGGGGAGCAAACGUUGUUCGGAAUCACUGGGCGUAAAGGGCGCGUAGGCGGUCCUGUAAGUGGUGUGUGAAAUCCGAUGGCUCAACCAUCGAGCUGCGCUCCAUACUGCAGGACUUGAGUACAGCAGAGGAAAGUGGAAUUCCCGGUGUAGCGGUGAAAAUGCGUAGAUAUCGGGAGGAACACCGUUGGCGAAGGCGACUUUCUGGGCUGCUACUGACGCUGAGGCGCGAAAGCCAGGGGAGCGAACAGG
rnacentral:rRNA from 1 species